AGCGAACGCUGGCGGCAGGCCUAACACAUGCAAGUCGAACGAACUCUUCGGAGUUAGUGGCGGACGGGUGAGUAACACGUGGGAACGUGCCUUUAGGUUCGGAAUAACUCAGGGAAACUUGUGCUAAUACCGAAUGUGCCCUUCGGGGGAAAGAUUUAUCGCCUUUAGAGCGGCCCGCGUCUGAUUAGCUAGUUGGUGAGGUAAAGGCCCACCAAGGCGACGAUCCGUAGCUGGUCUGAGAGGAUGAUCAGCCACAUUGGGACUGAGACACGGCCCAAACUCCUACGGGAGGCAGCAGUGGGGAAUCUUGCGCAAUGGGCGAAAGCCUGACGCAGCCAUGCCGCGUGAAUGAUGAAGGUCUUAGGAUUGUAAAAUUCUUUCACCGGGGACGAUAAUGACGGUACCCGGAGAAGAAGCCCCGGCUAACUUCGUG
rnacentral:rRNA from 1 species